CGGGACGGGUGGGUAAUGUCUGGGAAACUGCCCGAUGGAGGGGGGUAACUACUGGAAACGGUAGCUAAUACCGCAUAACGUCGCAAGACCAAAGAGGGGGACCUUAGGGCCUCUUGCCAUCGGAUGUGCCCAGAUGGGAUUAGCUAGUAGGUGGGGUAAUGGCUCACCUAGGCGACGAUCCCUAGCUGGUCUGAGAGGAUGACCAGCCACACUGGAACUGAGACACGGUCCAG
rnacentral:rRNA from 1 species